GUCCACGCCGUAAACGAUGGGCACUAGGUGCUUGGGGGAGCGACCCUCUGAGUGCCGGCGCUAACGCAUUAAGUGCCCCGCCUGGGGAGUACGGCCGCAAGGCUGAAACUCAAAAGGAAUUGACGGGGGCCCGCACAAGCGGUGGAGCAUGUGGUUUAAUUCGACGCAACGCGAAGAACCUUACCUAGGCUUGACAUGCUGGUGAAACCCUCAGAAACGGAGGCCUCUUCGGGACACCAGCACAGGUGCUGCAUGGCUGUCGU
rnacentral:rRNA from 1 species